rnacentral:rRNA from 1 species
GGUGAACGCUGGCGGCGUGCCUAAUACAUGCAAGUCGAGCGGUAAGGCCCUUCGGGGUACACGAGCGGCGGACGGCUGAGUAACACGUAGGAACGUACCCCAAACUGAGGGAUAAGCACCGGAAACGGUGUCUAAUACCGCAUGUGCUCUUCGGAGUAAAGCUACGGCGGUUUGGGAACGGCCUGCGCAUGAUUAGCUUGUUGGUGAGGUAAUGGCUCACCAAGGCGACGAUCAUUAGCUGGUCUGAGAGGAUGAUCAGCCAGACUGGGACUGAGACACGGCCCAGACUCCUACGGGAGGCAGCAGUAGGGAAUUUUCCACAAUGGGGGCAACCCUGAUGGAGCAACGCCGCGUGCAGGAUGAAUGCCUUCGGGUUGUAAACUGCUUUUAUCUGUGACGAUUAUGACGGUAGCAGAUGAAUAAGGAUCGGCUAACUCCGUGCCAGCAGCCGCAGUAA